UCUUAACCAACUGUGUUCAGCCCUUUUCCCUUUCUGCCCUCUGCCAUGUGAGGUCACAGUGUUCCUCCCUCCUGAGGAUGCAGUGUUCAUGAAAGCAAACACUGGGCCCUCACCAGGCAACAAACCUGCUGGUGCCUUCAUCUUGGACUUCCCAGCCUUCGGAACUAUGGAGCCCGCACUCUCCAGUUCAUCACCACCCCAGCAUCCCUACUCUUGCAUCUAACAGUUUCCGCUAUUUUGCACCACCUGCCUGGCCCUUAUGGGCAACUCAAGGAAGAAAGGAAAGAAGAGAUAGAGGAAAAAUGGAUUCAACAAAUGAAAGUGUUCUUUCUGACUACUGCUGUGUUUACAAACAUUUUAAUCAUCAAAACAUGCUUUAUUUGAUAGAAAGAUCAAAUCUGCCUUUGUAAAACAAGAGACUAUUUUAAUCAUUAAGACAACACACAUGUUUGAUUUGGAGGCGUGUUCUCAUUCAAAACCUUGCAAAAUAUAAUUUCUUCUUGUCUGGGAGAUGGUGUCUUUCUUCGGGGAGAACCUUGAGAGAAAUGUCUAUGAAUGUGUCUGUAGAUUGAGGAUAGGCCAACAAACAUAUUUUGAAAUAUUUUUUCUUUCUUUUAAAAAAAUAGAUACUUUUAAAAGAAAAUGCUUAUUUAAAUUACAUAGCUCUUUUUUUCACUCUCAGUCAUCAUUUGUGGUUUCAGUCAGUACUACAUUUAUUCCCCAGAGCUAGGAUUGCUGUGUUUUUAGAAAGGGAGCCUGUUUGAAGGGACUCUAUACUCUUGCAGUAAUUAAAAUCCUUUUAGGAGUCUUUGACUUUGACUUACUGCUUUGUUUUAAAUUAUUGAAAUUAUUCAACUUCCCCAUUCUAACCCACGGAAGGCUGUUGUUGUUCUCAUUUAUAAUGGCACAAUAUAAGUUUAAAGAUAGCUGUCUCCACAUGAAUGCAUCUGCAAAUCCAUCUCUCUUCUCUCUUCUGCCAUCCAGGUUAAGAAGCUCCACUGCGCUUUGUCCAUUGCAAGUUGAGAAGUGAGGCCCCAGCUGUCACAUACAGUGAGUGAAGAAGCUGAGCUUCCCUCAACGCCUGGGCCUGUAUGAAUUUUUUUUUUUUUUUUUUUUUUGGAGACGGAGUCUCACUUUGUUGCCCAGGCUGGAGUGCAAUGGCACUAUCUCAGGCCACUGCAACCUCUGCCUCCCAGGUUCAAGCGAUUCUUCUGCCUCAGCCUCCUGAGUAGCUGGGAUUACAGAAGUGCACCAUUACAGCUUGCUAAUUUUUGUAUUUUUAGUAGAGAAGGGUUUUCACCAUGUUGGCCAGGUUGGUCUCGAACUCUUGGCCUCAGGUGAUCCGCCCGCACAGCCUCCCAAAGUGUUGGGAUUACAGGCGUGAGCCACUGCGCCCGGCCUUAGGCAGUGGUGGCUGAGAGGAAGAACUGACACCUUUGUGCUAUCAGAGCACUUUGCAGAGGAGCUGUUAGUGGCCCUGUAGGAGUCUGCUGGCCAUACAUCUGGGUGUCAAAUCAAGAGAGCAUGAGAAGUUGGACAGGAAAGGUCCAAGGCAAAAUGGUUACUAAAGGCCAUCCCUGAUCCUGACCCUAAAAGAAGAAAAGGCCCUUUGCUCUUGGCAUGCUUUUGCAGGAGUGUCUCAGUCUGUUUGGGCUGCUAUAACAUUGACUGGGUGAUCUGCCUGCCUGGCCUCCCAAAGUGCUGGGGUUACAGGUGUGAGCCGCUGCACCAGGCCUUGAGGUCAGGAGUUCGAGACCAGCCUGGCCAACAUGGUGAAACCUGUCUUUACUAAAAAUACAGAAAUUAGCCAGGCAUGGAGGCGCAUGCCUGUAAUCCCAGCUACUGGGGAGGCUGAGGCAGGAGAAUCGCUUGAACCCAGAAGGUGGAGGUUGCGGUGAGCCCAGAUAGUGCCAUUGCACUCUAGCCUGGCCAACAAGAGUGAAACUCUGUCUCAAAAAAUAAAUAAACAAACAAACAAACAACAA
rnacentral:lncRNA from 1 species